rnacentral:rRNA from 1 species
CGUUAGCGGCGGACGGGUGAGUAACACGUGGGUAACCUACCUAUAAGACUGGGAUAACUUCGGGAAACCGGAGCUAAUACCGGAUAAUAUUUCGAACCGCAUGGUUCGAUAGUGAAAGAUGGUUUUGCUAUCACUUAUAGAUGGACCCGCGCCGUAUUAGCUAGUUGGUAAGGUAACGGCUUACCAAGGCGACGAUACGUAGCCGACCUGAGAGGGUGAUCGGCCACACUGGAACUGAGACACGGUCCAGACUCCUACGGGAGGCAGCAGCU